GCUUGCUUCUCUGAUGUUAGCGGCGGACGGGUGAGUAACACGUGGAUAACCUACCUAUAAGACUGGGAUAACUUCGGGAAACCGGAGCUAAUACCGGAUAAUAUUUUGAACCGCAUGGUUCAAAAGUGAAAGACGGUCUUGCUGUCACUUAUAGAUGGAUCCGCGCUGCAUUAGCUAGUUGGUAAGGUAACGGCUUACCAAGGCAACGAUGCAUAGCCGACCUGAGAGGGUGAUCGGCCACACUGGAACUGAGACACGGUCCAGACUCCUACGGGAGGCAGCAGUAGGGAAUCUUCCGCAAUGGGCGAAAGCCUGACGGAGCAACGCCGCGUGAGUGAUGAAGGUCUUCGGAUCGUAAAACUCUGUUAUUAGGGAAGAACAUAUGUGUAAGUAACUGUGCACAUCUUGACGGUACCUAAUCAGAAAGCCACGGCUAACUACGUGCCAGCAGCCGCGGUAAUACGUAGGCGGCAAGCGUUAUCCGGAAUUAUUGGGCGUAAAGCGCGCGUAGGCGGUUUUUUAAGCCUGAUGUGAAAGCCCACGGCUCAACCGUGGAGGGUCAUUGGAAACUGGAAAACUUGAGUGCAGAAGAGGAAAGUGGAAUUCCAUGUGUAGCGGUGAAAUGCGCAGAGAUAUGGAGGAACACCAGUGGCGAA
rnacentral:rRNA from 1 species